rnacentral:rRNA from 1 species
UCUUCGGAUCUAGUGGCGCACGGGUGAGUAACGCGUGGGAACCUACCUUUUAGUACGGGACAACGUUUGGAAACGAACGCUAAUACCGUAUACGCCCUCCGGGGGAAAGGUCAGCCGCUAAAAGAGGGGCCCGCGUCUGAUUAGCUUGUUGGUAAGGUAAUGGCUUACCAAGGCUUCGAUCAGUAGCUGGUCUGAGAGGAUGAUCAGCCACACUGGGACUGAGACACGGCCCAGACUCCUACGGGAGGCAGCAGUGGGGAAUAUUGGACAAUGGAGGCAACUCUGAUCCAGCAAUGCCGCGUGUGUGAUGAAGGCCCUAGGGUUGUAAAGCACUUUCAACGGUGAAGAUGAUGACGGUAGCCGUAGAAGAAGCCCCGGCUAACUUCGUGCCAGCAGCCGCGGUAAUACGAAGGGGGCGAGCGUUAUUCGGAAUUAUUGGGCGUAAAGGGCUCGCAGGCUGCUUGAACAGUUAGACGUGAAAUCCCCGGGCUCAACCUGGGAACUGCGUUUAAUACUAGCAAGCUAGAGUAAU